rnacentral:rRNA from 1 species
UACAUGGGGUGCAAACGUUGCUCGGAAUUAUUGGGCGUAAAGCGCACGUAGGCGGUUCGUUAAGUCGGAUGUGAAAGCCCUCGGCUCAACUGAGGAAGUGCACCCGAAACUGGCGAGCUUGAGUACGAAAGAGGAUCGCGGAAUUCCCGGUGUAGAGGUGAAAUUCGUAGAUAUCGGGAGGAACACCGGUGGCGAAGGCGGCCACCUGGACGGUCACUGACGCUGAGACGCGAAAGCGUGGGUAGCAAACAGG